CCGCGCCAUCGACGAGGGCGGCCGAGGACUGUCGCUCGUCGCCCGGCUCGCCGCCCGCUGGGGCACCCGGUUCGGACGCCGGGGCAAGAC
rnacentral:tRNA from 1 species